GCGUGAGCUAUAACUGCUUGAGUCACUAUCCACUGGAGAUGAGAGCUUUACCGUGUGAGGAGGAAACAGGUUAUUUGGUUUUUACAAGGGAAUUCUGCCACCUAUCUUGGCUGAAACCCCAAAAAGAGCAGUGAAGUUUUUCACCUUUGAGCAGUACAAGAAAUUGCUGGGAUAUGUGUCACUGUCACCAGCAUUGACAUUCACCAUUGCUGGAUUGGGAUCUGGACUAACAGAAGCCAUUGUAGUUAACCCUUUUGAGGUAGUAAAAGUUGGCUUGCAAGCAAAUCGGAACACAUUUGCAAAGGUAACCAUUUAAUGUUUUUCUAUUGUUAGGGGCAUGUAAAAAUUUAUUUAUUUAUUUAUUUAUUUUGAGACAGAGUUUUGCUCUUGUUGCCCAGGCUGGAGUGCAAUGACGCAACCUUGGCUCACCGCAACCUCUGUCUCCCGGGUUCAAGCUAUUCUCCUGUCUCAGCCUCCCUAGUAGCUGGGAUUACAGGCAUGCACCACCAUGCCCAGCUAAUUUUGUAUAUUUUUUGUAGAGACAGGGUUUCUCCAUGUUGGUCAGGCUGGUCUCGAACUCAUGACCUCAGGUGAUCCACCCGCCUUGGCCUCCCAGAGUGCUGGGAUUGCAGAUGUGAGCCACCACGCCCGGCCAUAAAAACUUAUUUUUAAUGUGCAUGCGAAACAAUGGAC
rnacentral:sRNA from 1 species